AGAGUUUGAUCCUGGCUCAGGAUAAACGCUGGCGGCGUGCCUAAUACAUGCAAGUCGGACGAGGGAGACAAAGCUUGCUUUGUCAACCUAGUGGCGAACGGGUGAGUAACACAUAAGCAACCUGCCCACGGAGACCGGGAUAAUCUCUGGAAACGGGGACUAAAACCGGAUAGGCAGUAAUGAGGCAUCUCAAUACUGUUAAAGGUGAGAGACACUGGUGGAUGGGCUUAUGGCGCAUUAGCUAGUUGGUGAGGUAACGGCCCACCAAGGCGAUGAUGCGUAGCCGGCCUGAGAGGGUGAACGGCCACAUUGGGACUGAGACACGGCCCAGACUCCUACGGGAGGCAGCAGUAGGGAAUUUUCGGCAAUGGGGGGAACCCUGACCGAGCAACGCCGCGUGAGUGAAGAAGGUUUUCGGACUGUAAAGCUCUGUUGUAAGGAAAGAACGGUACGGAUAGGAUCCGUAAGUGACGGUACCUUACCAGAAAGCCACGGCUAACUACGUGCCAGCAGCCGCGGUAAUACGUAGGUGGCGAGCGUUAUCCGGAAUUAUUGGGCGUAAAGGGUGCGUAGGCGGACAGUUAAGUCCAUGGUGAAAGCGUGGGGCUCAACCCCAUAAAGCCAUGGAUACUGGCUGACUAGAGUACUGGAGAGGGCAGCGGAAUUCCAUGUGUAGCGGUAAAAUGCGUAGAUAUAUGGAGGAACACCGGAGGCGAAGGCGGCUGCCUGGACAGAGACUGACGCUGAGGCACGAAAGCGUGGGGAGCAAAUAGGAUUAGAUACCCUAGUAGUCCACGCCGUAAACGAUGAAUGCCAGGUAUCGGGGCAACCCGGUGCCGGAGUUAACGCAAUAAGCAUUCCGCCUGUGGAGUAUGCACGCAAGUGUGAAACAUAAAGGAAUUGACGGGGGCCCGCACAAGCGGUGGAGUAUGU
rnacentral:rRNA from 1 species